rnacentral:rRNA from 1 species
ACACAGGUGUGCGAGAUGAGUAUUCUAAGGCGCGCGAGAUAACUUUCGUUAAGGAACUCGGCAAAUUAUCCCCGUAACUUCGGAAGAAGGGGAGCCUCUUAGGGUGAUUGCCUUUACGGCAUGAGCUCCGGGGGGCCGCAGAGAAAUGGCCCAGGCGACUGUUUAACAAAAACACAGCACUAUGCAAACCUCUAAGGGGAAGUAUAUGGUGUGACGCCUGCCCAAUGCCAAAAGGUUAAAGGGAUAUGUCAGCCGCAAGGCAAAGCAUUGAACCCAAGCCCUGGUGAAUGGCCGCCGUAACUAUAACGGUGCUAAGGUAGCGAAAUUCCUUGUCGGGUAAGUUCCGACCUGCACGAAUGGUGUAACGAUCUGGGCACUGUCUCAAC